rnacentral:rRNA from 1 species
AGUAACCUGCCUUGGAGUGGGGAAUAACAGCUGGAAACAGCUGCUAAUACCGCAUAAUGCAGUUGGGUCGCAUGGCUCUGACUGCCAAAGAUUUAUCGCUCUGAGAUGGACUCGCGUCUGAUUAGCUAGUUGGUGGGGCAACGGCCCACCAAGGCGACGAUCAGUAGCCGGACUGAGAGGUUGGCCGGCCACAUUGGGACUGAGACACGGCCCAGACUCCUACGGAAGGCAGCAG